UACGUAGGGGCAAGCGUUGUCCGGAAUUACUGGGCGUAAAGCGCACGCAGGCGGAAUUGUAAGUCCGUUGUAAAAUUCAGAGGCUCAACCUCUGUCUGUCGGCGGAUACUGGCAAAUCUAGAGUAUGUGAGAGGAGAGUGGAAUUCCUAGUGUAGCGGUGAAAUGCGUAGAUAUUAGGAGGAACACCAGUUGCGAAGGCGGCUCUCUGGACUGUAACUGACACUGAGGCACGAAAGCGUGGGGAGCGAAACAGGAUUAGAUA
rnacentral:rRNA from 1 species